ensembl:miRNA gga-mir-7441 gga-mir-7441
CUGAGGAGGGUUUGUAACAUGGGGAGAAGGUGAAGGUGACUCAUGUUGGGAUCCUCUUCUGCA